rnacentral:rRNA from 1 species
CCUACGGGAGGCAGCAGUGAGGAAUAUUGGUCAAUGGGCUUACGCCUGAACCAGCCAAGCCGCGUGAGGGAAGACUGCCCUAUGGGUUGUAAACCUCUUUUGUCAGGGAGCAAUUGGCGCUACGUGUAGCGUUAUCGAGAGUACCUGAAGAAAAAGCAUCGGCUAACUCCGUGCCAGCAGCCGCGGUAAUACGGAGGAUGCGAGCGUUAUCCGGAUUUAUUGGGUUUAAAGGGUGCGCGGGGGGUCUGUUAAGUACGGGGUCAAAGCCCGGGGCUCAACCCCGGCCCGCCGUUGAAACUGGCAGUCUCGAGUUGGAGGGAGGUAUGCGGAAUGCGCGGUGUAGCGGUGAAAUGCAUAGA